AUCCUGGCUCAGGAUGAACGCUAGCUACAGGCUUAACACAUGCAAGUCGAGGGGCAGCAUUUUAGUUUGUCUUGCAAACUAAAAGAAUGGCGACCGGCGCACGGUGAGUAACACGUAUCCAACCUGCCGAUAACUCAGGGAUAGCCUUUCGAAAGAAAGAUUAAUACCUGAUGGCAUAGGAUUAUCGCAUGAUAAUCCUAUUAAAGAAUUUCGGUUAUCGAUGGGGAUGCGUUCCAUUAGG
rnacentral:rRNA from 1 species